rnacentral:lncRNA from 1 species
UGAGUAUAUCUAGGUAAUCGUGUCGAACGCUUUUUUUUAAUGUAUCGUGUAGUAAAACUGCAUAAACCUAAUGUCAAGUUAAAGUGUACUGUUAGCUAGCUAACAUUAGCUGGCUGGCUCGCUAGCUAACGUUAAGUGUAUGCUCUCCACUUUCUGGAGGACCAAGUUUUGAAAUCAGUGGAAUUCGAGUAUGAUAGCUAAGGACUUGGAGAAAACACCAGUCUGGGUUACAUUGUCAAACUAAGGGCAACCAUGCAUGGUAUCAGACAAGAGACGUGUCCAACCAUUAUGUACAGUAGUGUAUCUUGCACAGUCAGUCACCAACGCUCUGGAUAACAUGAAAACUGCCUAAUCAGUUCUGCAAGGGAUGUUGGUGGGCGGAGCCGGGAGGGUCGUCAGCGAAAUGGGACACACCUGGGCUCGGGUGUGUCCCAGGAUAAAUACACCUCUUCCCCUUAUUCAUUGAGGAGACUCUCUCCAUGCAGACACACUGAUAGAGUUUGGUUGUGGCUGUUUUUGUUUGUUUGUUUUUGUUGGCACCUUUCAACACCCCUCAUUAUCACAUUUAUGCACGCAACCACUCACUUACACCACUGAUUACUGACUACACACACCAUUGUUAAUUGUAUUUAGUUUACUUUAGUUAAGAAAUAACAAAAUAUAUUUAUUAUCUCCAUGUUGUCUCCCUUUUUGUUAUGAGCUUUGAGCCGGUUCGUGACAGGUGCCAGAGUGAUGACUGUCCUAUUUGCUGUAAUUAAGCCUGUGUGUGAGUUUUUAUGUUUCAUUUUCAUUUUCUGUUCCAGAUUGACUGUGUUUUGAUAAGAAAGGUAUAAAACUCAGCAACCCAAAAUCAGGUUGUUUACCAUGGAUGGAAUGUCAAACACCAGAGGGAUGUAUUUUGUUAGUUUAAAUGUAUACUUAACAAUCUUGAAUUUUUCUAGAAGAAACUGAGUUUCUUGAGAGGCGAAUGUGAGAGAAAAAUUACAUAGUUACCUGAUUUGUUUGAUAUUAAUAGUUAACAAUUAAUACUUAACAAAUAUGAAGAUAUUUCUGUCCUGUUAGUGUCUGUGUUUUUAUGGUGCUAAUCUGGGCGUAUGAUCACUAGAGAUGGCUUGAGCUGACAAAUGAGUUAAAGACUGCAUUACAUAGACAAGAUGUGGUGGGUCUAACCGAGAUAGAGAUAGCCAGGAGGAGUUUAGAACAAUUCCUCAUUGUCUCUAAAUCAUCCUUGCAUCUGGGAAACUAAGCCAGGGAGGGGUUAAUACAACACCUCCGUGCAGAUAACGACUG